GGGUUCGCAUGGAUCUUGUUUGAAAGAUUAAUCGGUUGCGGAUUGGCUCGCGUCCCAUUAGCUAGUCGGCGGGGUAACGGCCCACCGAGGCGACGAUGGGUAGGGGUUCUGAGAGGAAGGUCCCCCACAAUGGAACUGAGACACGGUCCAUACUCCUACGGGAGGCAGCAGUGAGGAAUAUUGGUCAAUGGGCGGAAGCCUGAACCAGCCAUGCCGCGUGCAGGACGACGGCCCUAUGGGUUGUAAACUGCUUUUGCGAGGGAGCAAUAAGGGCCUCGAGCAGGUCCGAUGAGAGUACCUUGCGAAUAAGCAUCGGCUAACUCCGUGCCAGCAGCCGCGGUAAUACGGAGGAUGCGAGCGUUAUCCGGAUUUAUUGGGUUUAAAGGGUGCGUAGGCUGUUAGUUAAGUCAGGGGUGAAAUGCCGGUGCUCAACGCCGGAGCUGCCCUUGAUACUGGCUGGCUGGAGUGCGGAUGCCGUUGGAGGAAUGAGUGGUGUAGCGGUGAAAUGCUUAGAGAUCACUCAGAACACCGAUUGCGAAGGCAUCUGACGAAUCCGUCACUGACGCUGAGGCACGAAAGC
rnacentral:rRNA from 1 species